UGGGGAAUUUUGGACAAUGGGCGCAAGCCUGAUCCGGCCAUGCCGCGUGCGGGAAGAAGGCCUUCGGGUUGUAAACCGCUUUUGUCAGGGAAGAAAUCUUCUGAGUUAAUACCUCGGGAGGAUGACGGUACCUGAAGAAUAAGCACCGGCUAACUACGUGCCAGCAGCCGCGGUAAUACGUAGGGUGCAAGCGUUAAUCGGAAUUACUGGGCGUAAAGCGUGCGCAGGCGGUUUUGUAAGACAGAGGUGAAAUCCCCGGGCUCAACCUGGGAACUGCCUUUGUGACUGCAAGGCUUGAGUGCGGCAGAGGGGGGAUGGAAUUCCGCGUGUAGCAGUGAAAUGCGUAGAUAUGCGGAGGAACACCGAUGGCGAAGGCAAUCCCCUGGGCCUGCACUGACGCUCAUGCACGAAGCGUGGGGAGCAAACAGGAUUAGAUACCCUGGUAGUCCACGCCCUAAAACGAUGUCAACUGGUUGUUGGGAAGGUUCCUUCUCAGUAACGUAGCUAACGCGUGAAGUUGACCGCCUGGGGAGUACGGCCGCAAGGUUG
rnacentral:rRNA from 1 species